rnacentral:rRNA from 1 species
GCAGAAGAGCUAGCCUGACAAUUCAAAAUCAACAACCCCCUUUAAUAAACCCUAAUACCCCAUAAUUAGCUUAAACAAAACAUUUUUCCCCCUUAGUAUGGGCGACAGAAAAGAAUAUAAGAGCAACAGAUCCAGUACCGCGAGGGAAAGCUGAAAGAGAAAUGAAACAACCCAGUCAAAGCACAAAAAAGCAGAGAUUUAACCUCGUACCUU